AUGAGAAGGGAAACUUUCAAGUAUGACAGAAACCAUAGCUUCCUCAGCAGAUUGAUCAUCAAUGGUGACAGGACUAAGAUCCUGUUUGUGAAUAAUGUCAAAAAAUUUCCUGAAAUAUCUACAGAUGACAUCUCCGGCGGCAUCGGCGGCCUUGUUGGCGACAUCGGCAAAGUGAGUGAGUUAGUGAGGAAGCGAAUAGGGUUUAUGUACUUUGUGAAAUGCAGCUUUUAG